ensembl:lncRNA
GUAUACAGAAAUAAAACAAGAAGCAACAACAAAAUUAAGGAUAUUCUAAAAAGAGAAAAAAAACAAAAACAAAAUAAAAACAAUGAGCGUUUACAAUUUUUAUCAGAAUGUAAUCCCCAGCCAAUCCAUAAGAACCGCUUUAUGUAGUAACAUAAAAGGUAAUGGGAAAAAGUAUUUAAUAUAUGCAAAUAAUAAUACAUUAAAUGUAUGUUCUGUUGAUAAGGAUGGCUUUACAGAUGAUUAUAGUAAACAUUUUAUUUUUUCUGAUAUACUUGAGAUAAGAGAAUAUAAACCACGAAAGUUAAUUGACACUAAUAAAAACAAAAAUAUUAAAUCGUAUAUAUUUUUAUUAACAAAAGAAUAUAAAUUAUUAUUGUUAGAAUUUGACACAAAACUAAAUGAAUUUAUUACAUUAUCGAAAACAAACCUACGUGAUGUCAUUGGUUUACAUAUUGAUGAAGAAAUCAUAUUUUUGUUGAAUGAUAAGAAUAGUGCAAUUAUAUUUUAUGCUUAUAAAAAUAUAAUGAAAUAUAUACUUUUAGAUUAUGAUGAUUAUUUAAAUUUAAGUCAUUUAUAUACUGUUCGAUUAGAAGAUGGUUAUGUUAUUGAUAUUAUAUUUUUAAAUUAUUAUGAUGAUGAUGAUAAUAAUAAUAAUAAUAAGGAAAAGUAUGGAUCAGAUUGUUGUUUAUGUAGUAAUAGUAGUAAUGUUAAUAAUGGAAGUUACAUGUACAAUGGCAAUACUUGUUAUCAUAGUAACAAGUUAGAUAUUAAAGAAAGCACAAAAAAACAAAAAAACAAAAAACCACAACAGUCUUUUAACUCAUCAAUAAAUAAUAAUAACAAUAAUAAUAAUUUUUAUAAUAAUAAUAAUAAUAGUAAUAAUAAUAAAAAUAAUACUAUAUGUAUGAACGAUAGUAAUAAUAACACAAGUUCUAAUGUAAAUAAAAAAAAUAUAAACGAUAAUGAUAGUAUUUUAUAUGACAAUACAAAUAAUAAAAAAACAUACACUUUUAAUAGUAUGCAAUAUGAACAAACUGAUAAUGACAUAAGUACAUGCAUAAAAAACAUGAAUAAAAAUAAAUACAAUGAAUUAACUAAUGUAAGUAGUAAAAAUGAAAAACAAAACUUUGUUGAUUCAUUUUGUAAUAAUAAUCAAAAAAAUAGCACCAUACAUCAUACAAAAGUUUGCAAGUAUGAUGAAGAUUAUGCUCGUGACACUAAUGACGUUUUGAAUAAAAACGAAAAAAAUGGGUUAUCAAAAAGGAAUGAAACUGUGGAUAAUACAGGUGCAAGCGUGAGUCUUGGUACAAAUGUUAAUACUAAUACGAGUGCAAGAACAAACACACACAAACGUUGUACAAAACGAAAACAAAAUAAUGAAAAUAUUAACAUAUUUGUUUGUAUAUUAUACGAUGCCACAAAACAAACGUCUCCUACAUACGAGCGAUAUAUCCAGGUUAUUCGAUUAUACUCGCUAAAUGAAAUAAAAAGCGAAAAUCCAUGUGAAUGUUGUAACUAUUAUGAAUGCCAAGUAGAUGACACAUGUAAUGAGCAUAAUUCAAAUUCACCUAAAUAUAAUUUAUAUUAUAAUAAUGAUGUUUAUAUAUCUCCAAUAUAUUUUAGUCCAGUUAUUGUAGAUGCAAGUAUUAACAAACUUUUUAGUAUUGCAAAAAAUAGAAUACUGCUUAUAGGUUUUCAGUUUAUUAAUUAUAUAAAUUUGGCAGUAGAUAAAGAAUAUAUUUUUUUUCUUAGCUCUGAAUUAAGGACAAUUAGAUGUAUUGAGCAAAUUCAAAAAAAUAAAUAUAUUUUAGCUGACGACUAUGGAGAUCUUUUUAUUUUAACUUGUGUUUUCAGCGAUGAUGCAUGUCCUUCUAAAAUGGACAAGUACGAAAGGGGUAAUAUGUUUGGCAGCAAAAAAAACGGAAAAAACGGAAAAAACGGAAAAAAUGGAAAAAAUGACAAGAGCGAGAACAAUGACCAUAGUUAUAUUGGUGUAGGUAAUAUACGGUACCCUAGGAAUAAUAGUUAUACUUUUAUAAAUAAUUAUGACCGUUAUUGUUGUAAAUACAAUGCACUCGAUUGUUAUAAACAUAGUCCGACUUGUAUUAAUUAUAAAUCAAGCGAAAUAAAUCUUAUAAAUUUACAAUUCAUAGGCAUAUGUUCUCGAUCUAACGUUAUUGUUUCUAUUUUUUCGAAUAUAUUAUUUUUAGGAUCAGAAGUAAGUAAUAGUUAUUUAUUGCGUAUGCAUAAUUAUCCAGUACAUGCUUAUAAGGAUUUCGUACCAGUUGAGCCUAACAAUUUGCACAGCGAAGAUGGUAUAACAUCUGAUAGAGAGUUUAGUAAACAAGACACACGUCUAGCUGUUGGCGACUUGAACACUAAACAAAGCUGUUACACUAAUACUAAUACUAAUACUAAUACUAAUACUACUACUACUACUACUAAUAAUAAUGAUAGUAAUAAUGAUAAUAGUAAUGUAAAUGCAUUUUUGCAAAUGAAAAAAAAGAUGCAAACAGGUUUUAAUAGUGGAUCAGAUUGGGUUACGGCCGCCAAUACUACCAACAGUAAUACCAACAGUAAUAACAACAGUAAUACCAACAGUAAUAACAACAGUAAUACCAACAGUAAUAACAACAGUAAUACCAACAGUAAUAACAACAUGAAUGUGAACACUUAUAGCCAAGAAAACAAUGCUAUCCACACAAAUACAACCGAUAAAAAAUAUACCGAUUGGCUACUAAAUAAUUAUGUAAAUAAACAAAAUCAAAUUUUAAUUAAUGAGCAUGGAAAGUGCUUGAAUGAAUGCGAAGUCGUAAAAAAUGGAGAACAUACUAAUUGUACAUACCUUGAUAUUAAAGACGGGUUAAAUAUUGAUGUGCUACAACAAACGAGUGAAAUAACUAACGCAAAUAUAAACAAUGACAUUAAUGUUAAUACUAUAAACGAAGAAAAAAAUAAUUUACUUAUUAAGCAGAAAAUGGAAGAGUUCCGUUUUUUGCAAUAUACACAAAAAGGUUAUAUAGAUACAAAUUUGUCAUAUGAUUAUGUUUUAUCUACAGAAAAUACAUCAAAUGUUAGUACAGACAUAAAUAAACUUUCCAAUUCGGUUUUAAAUACUUCAAAUAAUAAAAACAAUUUUUAUGAAAAUAAUAUAUCAAACUUAUUCGAAUGUUAUAACAAAAUUAAAAAUAAAAAGAGUAAAAAAAAAAAAAAAAAAAAUUUUUUUAUUGAAGUGUUGUCUGUUAUUAAGAACAUGGGCCCUAUUUUAGAUUUUUGCGUAAUUCAAAAUAAAGACAAUGAAAAAGAAAUAAUAACAUGUAAUAGUUAUGGUAGAACUGGUUGUAUAUCUAUUAUAAAAAGUGGUUUAAAAGCUAAUGUUAUUUCCAAACUAGAUGUAAAUAAAGUAACUAAUUUUUUUGUAGUUAAAUAUGUCAUACAUAUAAAAAAAAAAAAUAAUAAUAAUAAUAAUAAUAAUAAUAUAAAAAAAAAUGACAAAUUAUAUAAAAAUAGAAAUAAAAGAGAGAAAGAUGAGGGAGGGAUAGUUCAAACUGAAUCAGAUGUGCGUAAGAUUUCAUCCGUUGAGAAAAUCAAAAAUAUGAAAAAUAAAAAUAAGAUAUCAAAUGAUGAUUGUAGUAAUGGUAGUAGUAAUAGUAGUAGUAAUAGUAGUAGUAGCAGUAAUAGUAAUAAUAAUGUACAUGGUUUUGAAAAUACGACUGAACAUGCUAGAACUAACAAAGAGCCAUUACAAUUCCAAGUCUUUGCUUACUUGGAUAAUAGAAAAAGUGUUGAAAUUAAAAAUGUUGAUUUAUCUUUUUUAAAUACUUAUUAUUUUGAAAAUGAACAUGAAAUAAAUGUUUUAAAAUAUGCAAAUUUUAUUUAUUUUCAUAUUUUUUUUAUUUGUAUAUCUUAUGGUUUUUAUACAAAAGUUGUGGGUGUAUGUAGAGACACAAAUAAGUUAGCAAAUAAAAAAUGGAAAUCGGUUGACUCGUGUUUUUCUGUUGGAUAUCAAAAUGGAUACAUUCAGGAUCCGAUAAACGUAUCGACAAAUACAUCGACAAAUACAUCGGCAAAUGCAUCGACAAAUGCAUCGACAAAUACAUCAACGUAUAUGCCACCGAAACAGCACUACGACGAACCAUCAAGUUAUAUAAAUAAUGACGAUAGUACUUAUUUUAAUAAUGCUUAUAUGAAAAAUAAUUAUAACAACAUUACUUUAUGUGAAUAUAAAAAUACAGAUAUUGAUGUAAGUGCUAAUGUUUUACAUUUUUCUGUAUUAAAAAAUUAUCCAUAUAUUAUACAAGUUACUGACACUUCUGUUCGUUUGUUGUGUUGUUUAUCAUUAAAAUUAGUGUUUGUUCUUAAUUUUCGUCUUAUAUAUAAAUUUUGUUUAUCAAAUAAUUUUUUGUAUAUUUAUUGUGAUGAUAAUAUCGAAGUUUAUACAGUACUUGAAGGAGGUAUUUUUUUUUUAUAUAAAAAAAAAGUGAAGAAACCAAUUAGCUCUAUGGUUAUAUACAAACGGUUGAUGGUUCUUGUUUUUUAUUGUAAACGGGUAGAAUUGUAUAAUAUAAAUAAAAAAAAGUUAAAUGAUUUAAGAAAUGAACGUGCCAAAAUAAAUGAACAAAAUGCUCCAAGCACAUUAAAAAAAGAAAAAAAUAUAUCCAUUUUUAGACAAGUUUGCUCAUACAAACCUAAAUGUGACUUUUUUAUUUUUAUAAACGAUAUAGAACUAAUUGAAUUUAACGAUAAUGUUUAUCUUUUUAUUGGUUAUAAUAAUGGGGACCUGGAAUAUUUUAUAUUGUGUGUAUGUAAUGAGUUGGAGAAAAAAAGAUGCACUGAUGUUAGUAGGGAACAUAGGGAACAUGUGACUGGUACAUAUGACCUUUAUAACUUAGAUGAAUUGUCUACCUCGAAUAGUUUAACUGAAAAGUUAAAAAAAAAUACAAAAAUAAAAAUCGAAAAAAACGAACAUAAUAAUAAUAAUAAUAAUACUACUUGUAUUAAUAGUAGUAAUGAUAACUUUAUUACUGCAGGUAUUCCACAACCAUCCAUUUUACAACAACUUAAAAGUGUAAAAAAUGAAUACACGUUUUCUAUGCAAGAAGACACUGUCGAUGACAAUUAUAAUAAUGACUUGAGUGGUAAUUCAUUACAUAAGGUUGGUGAUGCUUUAUUUAAUGUGUAUAAUAAUCAUACCGACUUAAGUGUCGAUAAUAGUAAUUUGUUUUUUAGUAAUACUAAUAAUAAAAACAAUAUAAGUAUGGGUAAAGACGGUGACCAUAAAUUAAUGCAUACAAACGAAAAAAUAAAGAGUAAAAGUGACAGCAUUUCAAGUAGUGACGAUUUAAGCAGUGACAAUUUAAGCAGUAACAAAUUAAGCAGUGACAAUUUAAGCAGUAACAAUUUAAGCAGUGAUAAUUCAAAUGGCAACAAAUCAAAUGGAAACAAAUCAAAUGGAAACAGUUUAAGCAUUAACAAAUCGAAUUACAAAAGAGCAUAUUAUAAAAAUAGUUGUAUUGGUAUACCUGACUAUAGCAACAAAAAAAGUAUGAGCAACGUUAAUAAUUUGUUUAAAUUACAUAAAAAGUUUUUAAAAAGAAAAGAGGCCGCACUAAAAUGGCUAUACAAAAAAAAAGGUGACGAAAGUGAUUGUUUUAUUAAAAAUAUAACAACUAAACAUAAUGACAAAAUAAAAUUAAUUGAUAAUAUAAAAAAGAUAAAAAAAAAAAAAGAAGAAAAAAAAAAAGUGUUAACAUUUUUACUUGAAAAUUAUACUAACAUAUUUGAUCAUUUUGAUUUUGGAAAAGGUAAAAUCAAAAAUUAUAAUAGUUUGUAUAAUGCUUGUAUGGAUCAAAAUAAAGAGGAGUUGUAUCUUGAUCCUGCUAUUUAUUAUAAUAUAGAUGCUAAAAAUAUUAAUAAACAUAAUAUGGAAAAUAUGUUGAAGGAAAAUAUAAGAAUGGAUACGGUUGGAGACAUUGAUGGUGCAAAGGACACAAUAAUAAUAAAUAAAAAAAAAGCAAAAUAUUUUUUUAAUUUUUUUCAAACUUAUAAAAUAUCUUCAGAUGAAGAAUCAGACCUUGGAAUUGUAAAAGUGAACAGGUCAAACAAAGCGAGACAUAAGCAAGUAAGAAAUAAACCAUGGAGUAUUUCAAAAAAAAAAAAAAAAAAAAAAGAAAAAAAAAAGCGUAAUAACUUGUAGUGACUAUAAUAGCUGUAGCAAUAGCAUAUGUAGUAAUGAAAAAUCUAUAGAUAUUGAAAACGAAUUUAUGCACAACUCUGAAUAUUUAUUAUCAACACAUAUUAACACAACCGAUAGUAAUGAUUUGUAUUUAAAAUACAAAAAUCAGGCAAACUAUUGUAGCUUAAAUAGUGAUAAUGAAUUGUUUCUCGAUUUUAAGACUGACAGUGGUAAAAGUGCAGUAAAUAAAAAUGCAGUAAAUAAAAAUGCA